rnacentral:rRNA from 1 species
UACGAAGGGGGCUAGCGUUGCUCGGAAUCACUGGGCGUAAAGGGUGCGUAGGCGGGUCUUUAAGUCAGGGGUGAAAUCCUGGAGCUCAACUCCAGAUCUGCCUUUGAUACUGAAGAUCUUGAGUUCGGGAGAGGCGAGUGGAACUGCGAGUGUAGAGGUGAAAUUCGUAGAUAUUCGCAAGAACACCAGUGGCGAAGGCGGCUCACUGGCCCGAUACUGACGCUGAGGCGCGAAAGCGUGGGGAGCAAACAGG